AGCGAACGCUGGCGGCGUGCCUAACACAUGCAAGUCGUACGUGAACAAGGUUUCGGCCUUUAGUAAAGUGGCGUACGGGUGAGUAACGCGUAGGUAAUCUACCUUAAAGUUUGGAAUAACCUGCCGAAAGGCGGGCUAAUACUGGAUAUACGGAAAGGCUUAAAGCUUUUUCGGGAAAGGGAGCUCGUUAAGAGCCCUCGCUUUAAGAUGAGCUUGCGUCUCAUUAGCUAGUUGGUGAGGUAAAGGCUCACCAAGGCAAAGAUGAGUAGCUGGUCUGAGAGGAUGAUCAGUCACACUGGAACUGAAACACGGUCCAGACUCCUACGGGAGGCAGCAGUGGGAAUUUUGCGCAAUGGACGAAAGUCUGACGCAGCAACGCCGCGUGAGUGAAGAAGGCCUUCGGGUUGUAAAGCUCUGUCGAGCGGGACGAACAGUCCUUGGGUGAAUAGCCCAGAGAUUUGACGGUACCGCUAAAGGAAGCACCGGCUAACUCCGUGCCAGCCGCCGCGGUAA
rnacentral:rRNA from 1 species